AUUGAACGCUGGCGGCAGGCCUAACACAUGCAAGUCGAGCGGAUGAGUGGAGCUUGCUCCAUGAUUCAGCGGCGGACGGGUGAGUAAUACCUAGGAAUCUGCCUGGUAGUGGGGGACAACGUUUCGAAAGGAACGCUAAUACCGCAUACGUCCUACGGGAGAAAGUGGGGGAUCUUCGGACCUCACGCUAUCAGAUGAGCCUAGGUCGGAUUAGCUAGUUGGUGAGGUAAAGGCUCACCAAGGCGACGAUCCGUAACUGGUCUGAGAGGAUGAUCAGUCAAACUGGAACUGAGACACGGUCCAGACUCCUACGGGAGGCAGCAGUGGGGAAUAUUGGACAAUGGGCGAAAGCCUGAUCCAGCCAUGCCGCGUGUGUGAAGAAGGUCUUCGGAUUGUAAAGCACUUUAAGUUGGGAGGAAGGGCAGUAAGUUAAUACCUUGCUGUUUUGACGUUACCAACAGAAUAAGCACCGGCUAACUUCGUGCCAGCCGCCGCCGUAAGAC
rnacentral:rRNA from 1 species